rnacentral:rRNA from 1 species
UGCGUCCUACGGGGGCAGCAGUGGGGAAUAUUGCACAAUGGGGGAAACCCUGAUGCAGCGACGCCGCGUGAGUGAAGAAGUAUUUCGGUAUGUAAAGCUCUAUCAGCAGGGAAGAAAACGACGGUACCUGACUAAGAAGCCCCGGCUAACUACGUGCCAGCAGCCGCGGUAAUACGUAGGGGGCAAGCGUUAUCCGGAUUUACUGGGUGUAAAGGGAGCGUAGACGGCAGUGCAAGUCUGGAGUGAAAGGCGGGGGCUCAACCCCCGGACGGCUCUGGAAACUGUACGGCGGGAGUGCAGGGGAG